rnacentral:rRNA from 1 species
AUACGUAGGGUGCGAGCGUUGUCCGGAACUACUGGGCGUAAAGAGCUCGUAGGUGGUUUGUCGCGUCGUCUGUGAAAUUCCGGGGCUUAACUCCGGGCGUGCAGGCGAUACGGGCAUAACUUGAGUACUGUAGGGGAGACUGGAAUUCCUGGUGUAGCGGUGAAAUGCGCAGAUAUCAGGAGGAACACCGGUGGCGAAGGCGGGUCUCUGGGCAGUAACUGACGCUAAGGAGCGAAAGCAUGGGUAGCGAACAGGAUUAGAUACCCUGGUAGUCCAUGCCGUAAACGGUGGGCGCUAGGUGUAGGGGUCUUCCACGACUUCUGUGCCGUAGCUAACGCAUUAAGCGCCCCGCCUGGGGAGUACGGCCGCAAGGCUAAAACUCAAAUGAAUUGACGGGG